AGAAGACAGGAGCUCAGCCCCCUUUCAGGCUGAAGAGCUGGUGAGAAACAAGUUUUCUGCUGUGAAGUUAUUCAUUCAGCAAAUAUUGAUGCACUGUCUACUGGGUGACUGGCACAUUUCUAGUCAUUAGAGAUACAGCAGUGAAGAAAACAGAGCAACCUCUGCCUGCCUGGACCUGAUAUUCUAGGGAAAGAAAGCAUGAAACAGUGGAGAUCCAAGCCUGGUGAUACGUGCUUGUAAUCCCAGCACUGGGGAGGCUGAGGCAGGAGGACCAAGAGUUCAAAGCAAACUCUAGCUACAUAGCGGACUGGGCUGCAAAGGGAACCCUGACUAAAACAAGAAAAGGAAGAAGAAAGAAGCCAACAAGAAGAGAAAUUGCAGGGAGAAGUGAGAUGCCGUGAAAACUGGUGCUGAGGUGACAGCUGCUGGAAGGUCCGUGUGUCCCAGCAGGCCCUGCCCACAAGUUCCACAUAUGGAACAAGUCGAGUGCUGCUUCCUCAGACAACUGUUGAUCUCUGACCCGGAGGGAAGAAGUGGGGGAAGGUGCCAGUGGCGGUCCAAAUGGAUAAAGAGGCACCGACACAGACAGCCACGUGAGGGGCCUGGCCUCUCCUUCGUAGGAAGACCGUGAGCUCCCGGUACUAUGAGGAAGGUCUGGGUGCCGGCCAAGGUAGGAAAGUCCACAGCCAGCACCUCCUGAGCACGCCGGCCCUGUGCUGAGCACUUAGUUAACAAGAUAAGCCGGUACUGUUAAUGCCCUGCAGGGAAAAAUGAGGAAACUGAACCCCUGGGAAAAAUACUCAAGCACUCUAUACCAUCUCCUGCCAAGUUCAGGGGGACGGGCAUUCGGUGAUUCAUUAGUGAACGUUACGGAAAAAAAUCAGCAUGUACCUACUGUGGCAACACAGGUGAGCAAGACUGAUCCAAGAAAGUCAAGUGUGAACCACAGCUGCGCCACCACCCACAGAGGCUUUCCAAGUGAACUGAGUUUGAGUCAGCCAGAGCUCCCUCAUGCAGAGACAGAAGGCAGGGUGGUAUAAGUGGGUGGGCUGUCCCCAUACCUACUCCCCCGUCCAAGUCCAGAGUCCUCUUCCUGACCGUCACUAGACCUCAGUUUCAGAACCCAUGAAAUGGGAACAAUAAUAGCUCUGUGUGUGUGUGUGUGUGUGUGUGUG